GGGUGUGGUGGUGGGGUGGCUCUAUGCAUGAGCGGACUUGCUGGAGCAUAGGAAGCUGAGCUCAGUCUCUGGAAUGCUUGUGAGAAGACUGGAUGCCGGGGCAUCCAUUCAUAAUUUCAGCCCUCCUUCGGCCAGACAGGAAGUGGAGACAGAAUUACCCAGAAGAUGGCGGGACAGUUGUCCUAAAGUGAGCACUGCCAUUGAAGGCCGGCUUUGAUAGGGAAGGAGUCACCAGGAUUACCCCGUGGUCUAUUUGACGGUGAAACUGCCAUGUGUCCAAGGACCAUUCGGGCUUGCCUCUGGUAACCAUGGAGAUAUGAAACCUCCAAGGGGAUGACCAAAUGAACCCUCCACCCCUGAUGUAUCCAUUCCCCACACUGGCUUCCUGCUCACCCUUUAAACUCACUUAGAUUAGAAAU
rnacentral:lncRNA from 1 species